UGAGUACGAGAUGCUACGGCAUUGAAGCAGUCUAUGUCAUACUUCCAAGAAAAGCUUGCACUGUCAUAAACAAAUAAUGCCUGUACCAUAACCGACACAGGUGGGUAGGUAGAGUAUACUAAGGGGCGCGAGAUAACUCUCUCUAAGGAACUCGGCAAAAUGACUCCGUAACUUCGGGAGAAGGAGUGCCUUAUUUAUAAGGUUGCAAUAACAAGAUCCAAGCAACUGUUUAUCAAAAACACAGGUCUCCGCUAAGUCGUAAGACGAUGUAUGGGGGCUGACGCCUGCCCAGUGCCAGAAGGUUAAAGAAGUUGGUUAGCAUUUGCGAAGCUGAUAACUGAAGCCCUGGUGAACGGCGGCCGUAACAAUAACGGUCCUAAGGUAGCGAAAUUCCUUGUCGGGUAAGUUCCGACCCGCACGAAAGGCGUAAUGAUUUGGAUGCUGUCUCGGAGAGGGACUCGGUGAAAUAGACUUGUCUGUGAAGAUGCGGACUACCUGCACCUGGACAGAAAGACCCUAUGAGGCUUUACUGUACCUUGAAAUUGAAAUUGGACUUUAUUUGCGCAGUAUAGGUGGGAGGCAUAGAAAACAUUCUUGCGGGAGUGUUGGAGCCAUCAGUGAGAUACCACUCUGGUAAUGUUAGAUUUCUAACUUUGUAUCAUUAUCUGGUCAAAGAACAGUUUCAGGCGGGCAGUUUGACUGGGGCGGUCGCCUCCUAAAGGGUAACGGAGGCGCACAAAGGUUUCCUCUGAACGGGUAGAAAUCGUAUCUAGAGUGUAAAGGCAUAAGGAAGCUUGACUGUGAGACCUACAAGUCGAACAGGGACGAAAGUCGGUCUUAGUGAUCUGACGGUGCUGAGUGGAAAGGCCGUCACUCAACGGAUAAAAGUUACUCUAAGGAUAACAGGCUGAUCUCCCCCAAGAGUUCACAUCGACGGGGAGGUUUGGCACCUCGAUGUCGGCUCAUCGCAUCCUGGGGCGGUAGUACGUCCCAAAGGGUUGGGCUGUUCGCCCAUGAAAGCGGUACGCGAGCUGGGUUCAGAACGUCGUGAGACAGUUCGGUCCAUAUCCGGUGUAGGCGUUAGAAUAUUGAGAGGAGCCUUCUUUAGUACGAGAGGACCGAGAAGGACAUACCUCUGGUGUACCAGUUAUCGUGCCAACGGUAAAUGCUGGGUAGCUAUGUAUGGAGUGGAUAACCGCUGAAAGCAUCUAAGUGGGAAGCCCACCUCAAGAUAAGUAUUCUCAUCACGUAAGUGAAUAAGGUCACGGUAAGACUAACCGUUUGAUAGGCAUUAAGUGUAAAUCUAGUAAUAGGUGUGCUAAGAUGUACUAACAGACCGAAGACUUG
rnacentral:rRNA from 1 species